rnacentral:lncRNA from 1 species
UUAAAUACCCAGCUCUCCUCGGCCUGAUUACAACAAGCUUUAGAGCUCUGUUGCAUUGUCACCCAGGAGGAAUACGACAGCAAACAAUUCUGUAGAAGGAAGAAAUCUGAUGUUUGCAGUUUAUGUAAUUCGCAUGUAAGUGGGAAGCCUGAGUUGGUGGAAAUCUGGCUUGAGCAUCCAGAAUAUGCAGUUCCCUGGAUAGCCACCAAGAGGGGACCGAAGCAGAAGACAUGAUGUCACCUUCAAGGGGGCGGGGGAACUAGGACGAAUGAGAAGAACUAAGGGCCUCAAACCCCAAGGAGAGGCCAGGACACCUUUCUGGGCCCCAGUCCAACCUCUGCCUUGAAAACAAAGCUCCAAACGAGAUGCAGUGCAGAUUCCCGACCUCCAGACCCUAGUUGCCCUGAGGGAAAGCGAGCUCCGAGCAGCCCAGAAGGUCUCUGGGUAUCCUGUGCCCCCACCCAUAGAGAUCAGGAGCCCAAGGCUAGAACCAGGGCAGAACCAGACCUAAGAUAAUUCAAGGGUUACCAAGCCAGGUCUUUCGAGACCUUUCUCUCACUAAGGGAGAGAAG